UACGUAGGGUGCAAGCGUUGUCCGGAAUUAUUGGGCGUAAAGAGCUCGUAGGCGGUUUGUCGCGUCUGCUGUGAAAACUCAGGGCUUAACUCUGAGCUUGCAGUGGGUACGGGCAGACUAGAGUGCGGUAGGGGAGACUGGAAUUCCUGGUGUAGCGGUGAAAUGCGCAGAUAUCAGGAGGAACACCGGUGGCGAAGGCGGGUGUCUGGGCCGUAACUGACGCUGAGGAGCGAAAGCAUGGGGAGCGAACAGG
rnacentral:rRNA from 1 species